UUGUAGGUGAACCCCGGGAAGGAUCAUUA
rnacentral:rRNA from 2 species